CUUUACGCAUUACCUACCUACGUUUGUAUGUAGCAAUACAACUGAAAAACUGAAUUACAUCUGUGGCACCGGCACCUUGAGAAGUUUAAAUUCUUUUUAGUGUAUUUUUUUUUGUUUGAAUAGAUACGGUUUGCGUUCAAUUGAUUUCCAAUAUUAGACAAAUUAUGGCUAUUAAAUCAUUAGCGUUGUGUGCUGUCGUUUUCAUCAUCAGUUUCACUUCAACCGAAUCGUCAUUCCUCUGUGAUAUCGCAAGGCUCGGUAAAGAACAUGUACAAUGCACCACUUGUGAUUUCUUGACUUUCGGUCAAGAGGACAUCGGAUUUGGGAUUUCUUUGGCUUGCCCCUUCACAACAGCGGAAGAGAGUUACUGCUGCUAUGAUGUGAGGCGUCGACCUUUCUGUUGUAAUUCAAAGACGCAUCUUCUUAAUGGAAUAUUUUGGAUUGCAGCGGCAUUGUUGAUCAUCUAUGGCGUUAUCAAAAUCGUAAAAUGUUUGUUUAAUUCGUAAUUACCUACCUACAUAUUUUGAUUUAGGUAUCUGUAUCUUAAGUAAUAAUUUGAAUAUGAAAAUUUGUUCGAAUUAUUUUGUAUUCGAUAAUUAUUUUAUAUACCUAUUAUCUUUUUUUUUUAAAGAAGGAGGGUCAUUA